UUUUCAUCAUUGACUCUUGUUUUUCUCUUAAAUCUUAUUGAACAAUCAUUGAGAUUUUUUUUUUGUUUCUUCUUGUGUCUUAAAUUGCAGAAUAUGUUCCUUUUAGCGAACUAAUAUCCUCUGAUUCCUUGAUUGCGAAACCUCUGUUUCUCAGUUGUUGAUUUUGUUCCAUUUACUUUUUUACUUGCUCUCUCUCUCACAUACAAAGACCAUAGCUUUUCCACAAGUUUCGUGGCAGAAAAUUUUCAGGCUUUCUAUAUCAGAUUUUGAGUGUUUGGUUACUUUAACAGCAUGCUUCUGCUGAUGGAUCUGGAAACUGAAAAUCGAAUAGCUUCGGUUCUGUUGAGAGAAGCAGCAGAGUUGAGGAGACAAGCUGAAAAAGAUGGUGUCCGAGCUUAUCUUGAGAAGCCUAAUGUAAGGCAUCGACCUAACUCGAGGUUUCUCACAGCAACUUUCCUUGGUGUUCAACAAUGUAAUGCUUUUCUGUCCACCCUUUACUUAUUUUCGUUUUAUAAAAGUUAAGAUUGAAAAGGACAAGCCUUUGCAUUGCUAUAGUGUGUGAUAUUCUUUUGUUCGUUGAAGCAAUAGCUGUAUGUUUUUGGAAGAGGAUUAUUUUAAUUGUUGGUGAAUGGUCGAUUCACAAUAAGAAAGUUGGCAGAAUCUGAAAGUUUUGUUUUGGGUUCUGCGUUUCUUAACAGUUCAAUGUUGUGACUUACGUGUCUGUCUAGUACUCAAUGUAGCUCAAUAUAUUAAUUAUUUACUCUAAUCUCUUGCAUGUUUCUUGACCAUAAUACAACAAACAGAGCGGUAGAAACCAAUGAGAUGUGGAAGGCUCAGGAGCAAGAAAACGAAAGGCUCAAAAGAAAAUCAAGAGAGGAAAGCAGCAGCAGCAGUAGCCAAAUAAAGCGGAGUAGUAGUUUCUCGAAAAGGAGUUUGGAUAAGAAAUGUAGCUCCAUUAAUGAGGAGAGAAAGAUCACUCAUCAAUCAUCAUUGGACAAAAGAUUGUACUUGGAUGAUGAUGAUGAAGGUUUAGGAGAUGAUGAGAAUUGAGUAUUUUCUCCAAUCACGGUAUAUAUGUCUAUUUGCUAUAGCUUCUGUUACCUUUAGCUUCCUUCAUUUUCUGAGUCUCUUUGUAAAUGACAGGAACAAAUGUGGAAGAGGCUCUGUUGGUCCUAGGAUGGAUGAAACUUUCCCUUAUCUUCCCACCGAGAAGGUUGAUCAAUUGCAAAGUUCUGAUACAAGGGAAAGGAAGGUAGUCUUGCUGCAGCUUGGGCUCUAGCUAAUCUAUAUUAUCUUGCAUGUUAGAAACCUCUUAUAAAGGUUUAUAAAACUAUUUAUAAGAACUUAUAAAUCAUUUUUAAGGUUUUAAAAAUAUAUUUAUAAAAGUUUAUGAAUCUGUAUAUAAGGGUUUGUAAAAAUAUUAUAAGAGUUUAAUAAUCUUCAUAGCACAAUUUAUAAGAGUUAAUAAAUCUUUUUCAAGAGUUUAUAAAUCUUUACAAACAUUUAGAAGUAAAAUAUUCAUAAAGCUAUUAUAAGUGUCUAUAAUUCUAAUAUAAAUGUUUGUAAAUUAUUUAUAAUAAAUAAAAGAUUAUUUAUAAUGGUUUAUAAAACAAUUAAUAAGACUUUAUAAAAUCAGUCUAUAAGGUUUUUUAAAUAUAUUAUUAAAGUAUAAUUCAUUUAUAAGAGUUUAUAAAAUCAGUUUAUAAGGAUUAUAAAUAAUUAAUAAAUGUUUAUGAAUGAUUUAUGAAGAUUUAGAAAUCAUUUAUAAAUCUUUAUCAAUAGUUUAUAUAUAUUCCUCAUGUGGUGGAAAACAGCGAGAUGAGGCAGCAGAGGUUCGUGGGGAUAUUGAGUUUGCUGUAUAGUUCUUAGUUAAGAAUAAGAGCGAGUGUCUCCAAGAAGAAUAGGGAGUGUUGGAGAAGUCUCCGGAGGCGGCUUUAGAUGUGGAUCAGACGAUCUUCAUGGUUGUGGCGAAAGACGUGGAGAGGAGCAAAACGACGGUGUUAUGGGCGGCAAGAAACUUCUCCAGCAAGAAGAUUUGCUUGCUUUACGUCCAUCGUCCUGCUCGGCCUGCCUCCUGCAGUGAGAAUCUUCUGCUUCUCUUUCUCUCUGACUUAACUGUUUCGUGGUGAAUUAUAGAAUAUUUAUGGAUGUUGAAUUGUUCUUGAGUGUAGAUUUGCUCAUGAAUCAUGAUUGAAUCUUACCGAGUCUAUAUAUAUACCCUUUAGUUGAUUGUGGAUGAUGUUAAUGAUGUACCUCUGUUUGCUAAGAAAAUCUGAGAAAUAAUAUAAUUGUUUUAUAAAGAAGAGGCAGAGAAACCAUAUCAAAUUAUAUCAUCAUAAUAAAAUCCUUAUAAGGCUUUAUAAAGAUAAUAAAUAAUUUAUAAAUGUUUAUAAAUCAUUUAUGAAAAUUCAGAAAUCAUUUAUAAACCUUUAUCAAUAGUUUAUAUAUAUUCCUAUAAAUGAUUUAUAAACCUUUAUAAAAUCACUUAUAAGAAUAUACCAAAUAUUUAUAAGGUUUUAUAAAAUCAUUUAUAAAUAUUUAGAAAGGUAAUUUCAUUUAUAAAGUCUUAAAAAUCAUUUAUAUGAAUAUAUAGAAACUUUUUAUAUGAAUAUAUAGAAACUUUUUAUAAGGGUCUAUAAAUCAUUUAUAAGAAUUUGUAGAAUAUCAAAAGGUAAUUAUUUUAUGAAGUCUUAUAACAUUUUAUAGAGGCUUAUAAAUCUGUAUAUAAGGGUUUAUAAGAAUAUUAUAAGAGUUUAAUAAUCUUCAUCGCACAAUUUGUAAGAGAAAAUAAAUCUUUUUCAAGAUUUAUAAAUCUUUACAUUUAGAAGUAAAAUAUUCAUAAAGCUAUUAUAAGUUUAAAAAGUUUAAAAAGUAAAAUCGGUGAUAUAAAUACAUGAAGAUGCUCGUUACUAAUUUUCUUAAAAAAGAAACUAGAGUAAAUGUAAAGUACAAAUGAUUUACAGCUUACAAUCACUUAUAAGAACACGUGUUACACAUAUAUAUUACAGAAAUACAUGUGUCUUGUUUCUCUUAUAUGUGUCAAGAACAUAUAUAUUACAUAUAAAAACACAUGUCUUCUCUCUCUUUCUGCAACUCCAAUCUUCUUGAAAAUUGUGUUUCCCUCUGAAAACAUAAAAACAUAAGGUAAUUAUAAAUCAUUUAUAAGAAUUUGUAGAAUAUCAAAAGGUAAUUAUUUUAUGAAGUCUUAUAACAUUUUAUAGAGGCUUAUAAAUCUGUAUAUAAGGGUUUAUAAAAAUAUUAUAAGAGUUUAAUAAUCUUCAUCGCACAAUUUGUAAGAGAAAAUAAAUCUUUUUCAAGAGUUUAUAAAUCUUUUAUAAGAUUUUAUAAAUCUUUACAUUUAGAAGUAAAAUAUUCAUAAAGCUAUUAUAAGUUUAAAAAGUUUAAAAAGUAAAACCGGUGAUAUAAAUACAUGAAGAUGCUCGUUACUAAUUUUCUUAAAAAAUAAACUAGAGUAAAUGUAAAGUACAAAUGAUUUACAGCUUACAAUCACUUAUAAGAAAACGUGUUACACAUAUAUAUUACAGAAAGACAUGUGUCUUGCUUCUCUUAUAUGUGUCAAGAACAUAUAUAUUACAUAUAAAAACACGUGUCUUCUCUCUCUCUCUCUCUGCAACUCCAAUCUUCUUGAAAAUUGUGUUUCCCUCUGAAAACAUAAAAACAUAAAGCUAAAUAUAUAUAUAUAUAUAUAUAUAUAUAUAGUUUUACGAUUUCUUUUAUAAGGCCUUAUAAAUAUAAAAAUUGUAAUAAAUACCUCAAGCGGGUUACCUUUAUAAAAUCACUUAUAAAUUUUAUAAGAGCUUAUAAACCCUUGUAUCAACCAUCUAUAAAGUUUUUAAAACAUAUAUAAAUAUUUAUAAAACUAUUUAAAAGGUUUAUAAAACUAUUUACAAGAACUUAUAAGCUAUUUAUAAGAGUUUUUCCAUUUAUUUAUAAGUGUUCAUAAAUUAAUUUACAAGGUUUAUAAAUCUAUUUAUAAGAGUUUAUAAAUCACCAAAUUAACCAACUUUCCACCAUUUCUUUGCUUAUUAAAGAACAUCAUUCUUUUACAGUUUCUUUUAUAAGGCCUUAUAAAAAGGUAUAAUUGAGCAUUGAGAUGAUUGAGCAUUGAGAGAUACUUGGGGUUUCUGAAUUUACAAUGGUUUAUAAAAAUUUAUAAAGGUUUACAAAACCACAAUGUUAGAUGAACGCCUCAGUUCUGCAGAUGCACAUAAUGUAUCCAGACCAGAUAUAUAGCCUUCUAGGACCUUUCUCACAGCAAUAGCAAAAGCCUGAUUAACAAGAGUAUAGUGGCUCUUGUUAUUGGCUUCUUCAUUUUCACCUACUUUACAGCUCCCCCCUGUCCCUCAACUUCUAACUUAAAGUUCAUGAAAUGGGUCUACGAAGUUAUGGAGAAGAAAGACCAAAGAACCAAAACAGCCUAUGUUUCAAAGAAUUUGUCCCAAGGCGUCAGUGCUUGAUAACCGAUGCCACAAGCUAUGACUUUGGUGGGUUGUCCUAUCAGCUGGCUCAGAGAAUAAUCCAUAAGAGAGCUUUUGUAUGCUAAUAAGAGAAGAACACCUUGCAGAGCAUUCAACGCCAACCUAACCAAGCUUAAUUCCUAUUAAAAAGCAACAAAAUUGUCAGAGAAUGUGGCCAAAAGUAGAAGUAGUCUCAAUAUACUUCUUUCAUUUCAUCUAAGCACUAAAGAUAUUUUAUUGUUCUGUAAUUAAUUACUAAGAAUAGAAAUCUGAGAACAUCACAUCGUAAUCUUCCCUAAGAAAAUGAUUUCGUCGUAACUCAAUACAGUACAUCGAGUACUAAACUCAAAUCAAUAAAAUUGAUACUUCUUUUUCUCCAAAUCAUUCCCUAUUAGGUUUCCGAUCCUAGCCACUCAAGCGAAAUGCAAAGCUCAUGUUUUCACGCAUACAAACAUGAAAAGCGUAAAUGGUGAACUUACAGAGACAAAGGAAGAAGACGGAGGAGAAGCACGAGUUGGAGGAGAAAAUUGGCAGCUCUGAGAAUGUAAGGACUCUCAAUUACUUGGUGGAAGGUACCUCCUCCUGUUUGAGCUUCUCCAGAAGCGAGAGAUCGUCAUUAUUUCUCAAUGGAGGAGAAAGUGAGAGAUCGUCUUGUUCGCCUGAGCUUGUUGACUUUUUCAGCUUCAUCGGAGAAUUCGUCAGCGCCGUCAAAUCCACCAGAGAACUCGCCAGCACCGUCCGGAGAACUCGUCAGGAUCGUCGGAUUUGAUCACCGUCGAAUUCGAAAUCAAUCUGGCAACUCUCAGAUUUGGAAUUGAGGGAGAAAGAGAGUAAUUUAGGUUUAAUUAUUCAGGGGUAUAAUGGUACUUUGUCUAUUAAAAUUUUAAUGGUAAAGUUGAAAAGUGUAAAGUUGAAAAGUGGUAUUAGGAAAGUGGUAUUAGUGGCAAUUCCCCAACAACCUUUUUCCUUCUUAACUUUAUUACAGAGAAAAAUAAUAUCAAUUCAUCUAUAAAAUUUAUUUAUAGUAAGAAUUACUAUUUUCCUUUAUAUCAGUCAAAAAAUUAUCUUCUUAAAGGUACUUAAUUAUAAUAAUAAAUAAAAUAUUAUAGAAAUAUCUUCAAAUAGUACUAAAACAAUAUUUAUUCCAAAAUUACAUAUUUCAAAAUAUUAUAUUUCUAUAUAUAACUAAAUAAUUAAAUCAAUAUAUUAAUUUUUUUCUUUUUUUAUAAAUUUACAAUAAAUAUAUUUACAUCUGGAUUUGGUGAUUAGGAUGUAGGAUUUAAUAUUUAAGAGAUGAAGUUCUAGUGACGUUUCAGAGAACAAGAUGAACAAAUAAGAAUAGAACGUAUAGGAAUAAAAUAGAAUGAUUGUUCUUUCUCAAAUUUAACAAAGAAUAAUUUUAUUCUUUAUUUCUCUACAAAGAAAAUGAAUGAGAGGGAAAAAUUAUUCUUUGUGAAUGAUGAUUUUUUUUAGGAAUGAUAAAGAAUUGAAUAUUACUUCUCGUUCUUUAGUCACCAUUCAGUCUUUGAGUUUUGGGAUUUAAAGUAAUUUAAUAUUUUCCUGUUUAAUAAUACUAUUUUGAUUUUUUUAUAUGUAUACUAUUUCUAUGAUAAAAAUGAAGUAGUACCUAUUGAUGGUCUUUUCCAAAAUAUUGUUUCUGUUGCUUUAAAGUCAAAAUUAUUUAUUUUUAAAAAGGUAUUUAAAAUUCUAAAACUUAUCUCUAUAAUAUUAUUUGAGAAGUCAGUUUCUUAUGUGUCACGCUCAUGUUAACUCUCACGGUGGUUUAUUACACUUACACCCUUAAUAAAUUAAAAAUAUUAUAAGUGAUUUCCAUUUAUUAUUAUUAUUAGUGAUUUCCAUUAAUAACAAUUAUCUAUGUUUCCUUUUUCUUAAUAAAACUGUAAUUAACUUUUUAAUGUAAUUUUCCUUUUUAUUAAAACACAUAAAUAAUAAAAUGAAACUUUUUAUAAAAUAUAAACAUAGAAAUUUAUACAAAAACGACUUUAGUUUUUUUAUUCUUUAUGUUUCCUACAACAAAAAAAAAUCAAUAACUUUUAAAAAAUUAUACUUAUAAAUAUAUAUAAAAUAACUUUACAAAAACAUAAAAAUAUAAUAAUUCAGAUAAAUAUAUUUUUCUAAAAGAUAAUAAUAUUUUUAUUAUAAAUAUCUUUUGAUCUAACAAUUAAUAAAAAAAUAAUUUGGAACAGCAUAAAUGAUUAUUUAAUAUCUUAUUUUUUUCCAAAAAUUAGUAUAUCUUAUGAUUAUUUUAAAACCAAAUAAAUAUGUUAUAAUGUGAGGCUACAACAAUAUAAAUAGUAUUUCUUAUUUAUCAAUAUAUUUUUGAUUGAAUGAUUAGAAUUUUCAUAAAAAAAUUAUUAACACUUCAAUUUUAUAAUUUUAUGGGAAACAUCAUACAUCAAAUUAUACAUAAUCUUACAAAAUAUAUUUUUCAUCCUAAGAUAAAAGCCUUGUUCGGAAACUCGCUAGGCGCUACGCGUGCGGCAUAUACGGGCCUAGCGAUUUAUUAAAAAAUCAGAAAACAUCGGGGAUUAUACGGGAGGAAUUUUUUAUACUUUUAUAUGUAUAAUACCACAUUUUAUACGUAUAAUACAAAAAUUUUAUAUACCACAUUGAUUUAUAAAUAAUUAAGGGGAAUUGCCACUAAUACCACUUUCCUAAUACCACUUUUCAACUUUACACUUUUCAAUUUUACCAUUAAAAUUUUAAUAGGUAAAAGACUAUUGUAUCCUAACUAAUCAAAAGAAAUGGAGAACCCAUCAUCGUCUCCAACCUGGCCAACGCCUCCGCUUAUGAGUCUGUCGCCGCCGAAUUGAGCUCGAUGCUCAUCGAGAAUCGUCAAUCCGCCAUUGUUAUAUCCACCUCCAUAGCUGUUCUCAUCGGCUGCAUCGUCAUGCUUGUCUGGUGAAGAUCUGAUGGCUCCGGCAGCUCGUAACGUGUCGAGCAGCUUAAGCCUUUGGUGAUCAAACGCCUCCUCUUACGAGUCCGCCGCCGUAUAUUGACAUCUUCGAUUCACCUCAGCUCAUGUCUUCGCCUGCUCAGGUGAACUCAUCCUUUCCAAUUCCAAUCCCUAGAUGAUGGAUCUCACGCCAAUGACGAGUUCUCCACGAAGCUAACAGAAUUUACAAGCUCAAACGAACAAGACGAUCUCUCUCCCAACACCUAAGAAACGCUAACAAAGGUAAGAGGAUAAUAGAUGGUGAUUUUCAUCUCUUUCUGUAAUUGUAGGUUGGUAUAUCAAAUUCGAUCAAUUUCUAGGAAGGAAGACGAAGUUUUGAAGUUUUUCUCAUGAAGUUUUCAAAUAUCAAAUUUAUAAGACCUUAUAAAUUGGGUCCUUUGGAAUCUUACUGUUGAUCUGCUAGCAAUCAAAAGACAUAGAAAUUAACAUAUAUUUAAAUAAUGAGAAAUUAAUAAUUUAAGAUUAAGAUUAUUCCAUGAUUUCUUCUUCUCUUGGUUGAUAUGUUAAUGUUGCAGGAGAUUACAAAGGUGUGGUAUGAGAUUUUGGAUUUAAGGGAUGCUGUGGAGAAUAUGUGUGAUGAUAUGCAUAUCAAGUACCUCACUUUCUUGAGGUAAUACAAUGAUACUAUUUGUAGUUUGACUAGCAAGGUUUAGUAUGUGCACUAUAUGAGGUGGAAGGUUGGUGUUUUGGUAGUGUAAUGUUCUGUUUGGUACUAUAUGAGAUUUAUUUUUUAUGUCUUGUUUGUGUAUAAUAUCUAUAGAAGCAGUGGAGAUGGAGCAUGAGUUUGUUGAGUUACCAAAGCAUAUUAUUUUUGAAUCUUGUUUUUGGAAGUGAGUGAUGAUGCGUAUGAAUAACAUGUGAUUGGCUUGCGCUCAGAUUUUGAAGAUCGACGAGGUUGGUGAGCUGUUUGAAGAAGCAAGAGGAACUCUGAACAAGAAUGUGGUUUGUAUGAUCAGAUUAGUUCGACAUGUAAAUGAGUGUGGUUCCAAUCGUUUCUUUUAUAGAAGAAUGAGAUAUGGAGAAGCCUUGAUAUUCUCAGAUCAUGUUAGUAACAACUAACAAAAACUGAGUUUUGCAAGUACAAACUCUAUUGGAGCUAGAUUCAAAUGAUUUACAAAGCAUUAUAAAUUAGUUUAUAAAUAUUUAUAAUUAACUUAUAGACUGCAGUAGAUAUUUUAUAAAGUAUUAAAAAACUAUUUAUAAACCUAUAUGAAUCAAUUUAUAUAUUCUUGUAAAUCAAAAUAAAAUAUCCCAAGUCUACUGAUUGCUUGAAGAGCUCAUCAACUUGGUGCUCCCCAAUCCGCCAUGGCUCUAUGAUGAUGAUGCCUUCUACUCCUCUUGCUUGGCGGUUUGAUUCAGCUGAAUUCACACUCAAAGAAGACUAUAACGACUUCUUUCUGAAUAUAUGUUUCUUAAUGUCUCAAGAAGCAUUCAUCCUUCAGAUUAAGUACUAGUAACAAGCAACUAUCCUUUAACAAUGCUUCAUUUCUUAAUAUACUUACAACGCUUUGUCAUACACUCUACACCUGAUUUCAUGAAAUAAAAAGUUGUAACACUUCAAAAUACCACUAACCUUAUUCUUCUGAUAUGUUUUUUGGCUGAAUAGAUAUUUCUCUAACAGCUUAAAAAGACUCUCUAAACUAUUUAUAAAUAUUUUGAUAAAGUCUUAUAAAACCUUUAUAUUUUUUUGUAAACCCUAUACAAACACUUCAAAACCCAUUAAAAUCUUUUAUAAACCCUUAUAAAUUUUUUUUUUGUCAACAUUCUUUUCAUUUAAGCCUCAUGGGCUGAAAUUGUGGGCACAAGUCUUUCGUCUUAAAGCCCAACACUUUGAUACACAAGAUUAAAUUCAUAAAAAUAAAGAACACGUGCAUGUUUUAUAAAGAGAUGAUGAUACGUGGCAGAUUCUGAGGCACAUGCGGACAGCGAACAAUGCUCCACCGCUUCAGACCCCACCGCUUCAGCUCCACGAACAAAGAAACCUCAUUUGUCGGACUUACAAAUCUUAUAUGUCUUUAUAAAUGGUUUAUAGACUCCUACAAAUAAUUUUACAUACCCUUAUAAAUUAUUUUAUAAUGGUGUAUCAAUUUUAUAAAUUAUUUUUAUAAACCCUUAUAAAUUAUUUAUAUACCUUUAUAAACCCUUAUAAACUAUUAUACAAACCAUUAUAAGUUGUUUUAUAAAGCUUUCUAAAUGGUUAUAGACUCUUUUAAUUGAUUUAUAAACCUAUACAACUCUUAUAAUACCCCUUAUAAAUUGAAUAUAUGCUUUCAUAACAUUUUUAUAAACUUUUAUAAAUAGUUUAUAAAUUGCUUUUAUAAAUAGUUUAUAAAUUUAUAAAUUAUUUACAUUCAUCAAUAAUCAUAGAUCUACCCCUAUUGAUUGAUCUGAGAAAGUGAACCAUAGAUCUUAGAGACUCUUACAAAUAAUUUAUAAACAUUUAUAAAUCGCUUAUAAACUUACAAAAAUGUUUUAUAAACUUUUGUAAAUGAUUUAUAAACUCUUAUUUGCCCUUUAAAUUUCUUUUCUCUUCACUUUUAUCUUCUUUCAUGUGUUAUUGUUCUAUAUCAUAUACUGCAAAAAGUAAAUCCACAAAAUUUUGUUCUCAUUAACUUUUCUUCUUUUUAUAUCCUUAUUGAACUAAUUGUACAACACUGUCAAAAUCUAUGUCAUUAAGAUCUGAAUGCGUUGGGGUCACCAAAUGUUUGUAUUCCUUAGAGAAUCCAAACAUUGUAUUAACCAAAAGAUGUAACAAAUAAUAAACAAGUUUUAUAAGUCUCCCAAAUCUCUAAUUUACAAAUUUAUAAACCCAUAUAAAACUACAUUUAUAAUAUUUUAUAAAAUGCUUCACAUUAUUGACCAAGACAUCGAUUGGAUAAUCACUUUUGGAUUGUCUAGUGGAUCUGUUCCAGCUUCAUAAAUCCUCAGAUGAAUCACGAAGAUGUGCAGAAUUCAUUGCCAUCUAACUGCCUGGCGAAAUAAAAAGAUAAUGUUAACUUUUAAUCGUGUAAAGAUACCUUAUCCAAGCAUAAUGUUCAUGUAUUUUGGUAACAGUCUUACAAAGAAUAUAGGAUAACACAACACAAGACUUCUCAUGUUCUCAUGUUCACACGUUUAUAUGUUGUUCUAUAGAUAUAUACGAUGAACUCUUGUUUAAGAACUUCUUUUAUAACACCUUGUUUAAUAAGACUUUCUAAAUGGUUAUAGACUCUUAUAAUUGAUUUAAAGACCUCCGGUUGAUUUCUUAACAUGUAUAUACCUAUAUAAACCUUGAAAAUAAUUUACAUACCUUUAUAAACCCUUUAAAAUUAUUUUAUUAACUCUUAUAGAUUGUUUAAUAAGCCUUUCUAAAUGGUUAUAGACUCUUAUAAUUGAUUUAAAGACCUUAUAAUUAUAUACAUACCCCUUAUAAAUUAUUUAUAAACAUUUAUACUUUUUGUAAUAAACAUUUAUAUAUAGUUUAUAUACUCUAUAAAUUGUUUUAUAAGCCUUUCUAAAUGGUUAUAGACUCUUAUAAUUGAUUUAAAGACCUCCAAUUGAUUUAUAAACAUGUAUAUACCUAUAUAAACCUUAUAAAUUAUAUACAUUCCCCUUAUGAAUUAUUUAUAAACUUUUAUAAUUUUUGUAAUAAACAUUUAUAAAUAGUUUAUAUACUUUAUAAACUGUUUUAUCAGCCUUUAUAAUAGGUUUAUAAAAUUCAUAAAAAAAAUUAAAUAAAAUUUUAUAAAUGAUCUAUAAACUCUUAUUAAUUAUUUAUAUAUCCUUAUAAACCCUUAUAAAUUAUUUUACAAACUCUUAUAAAUGAUUUUUAUAAGUCUUCAUUAAUUAUUAGAGACUCUUAUAUAUUAUUUAAGAGACUUUCUAAUUGAUUCCUAAACCUAUAAACCAUAUAAAUUGUAUACAUACCCCUUAUAAAUUGUUUAUAAAAUUUCAUUAUGUUUUUAUAAACAGUUAUAAAUGGUUUAUAGACUUUAUUAAUUGUUCUAUAAACCUUUAUAAAUGGUUUAGAUACUCUUACAAAUAAUUUAUAAACCUUUAUAAAUAGCUUAUAAACUUUACAAACCGUUUUAUAAAUGAUUUACAAACUCUUAUUUGCUUUUCAGCUUUCUUUUUUCUUCAUUUUUAUCUUCUUUCAUGUGUUAUUUUCCUAUAUCAUAUGUUGCAAAAAGUAAAUCUACAAAUCUUUGUUCCCAUUAAAUUUUCUUCAUUUUAUAUCCUUGUUGAACUAAUUGUACAACACUGUUAAAAUCCAUGUCAUCAAGAUCAGGAUGUGUUGGGGUCACCAAAUGUUUGUAUUCAUCAGGAAAUCCAAGCAUUGUAUUAACCAUAAGAAGUAAUAAAGAAUAAACAACGUUUUAUAAGUCUCUACAAACUUCUACUUUAUAAACCCUUAUAAAACUACAUUUAUAAUCUUUUAUAAAAUGCUUCACAUUAUUGAUCAAGACACCGAUUGGAUAAUCACUUUUAGAUUGUCUAGUGGUUCUGUUCUAGCUUCAUCAAUCCUCGGACGCAAUCUCAAAGAUGUGCAAAAUUCAUUGCUAUCUAACUGCAAGACGAAAUAAAAAGAUGAUGUUAACUUUUAAUCAUGGUCUAAAGAUACUUUAUCCAAGCAUAAUGUUCAUGUAUUUUGGUAACAGUCUUACAAAGAAUAUAGGAUAAUAAAAGACAAGACUUCUCAAAUUCACACAUUUAUAUGUUUUUUAUAGACAUAUAUGAUCAACUCUUGUUUACAAACUUCUUUAUAAAACCUUGUAAAGUAUUGAGUUGUACUAUCAACAAUGUCUUAAAACCCAGAUUUAUAAGAGGUUCUAAUUCUUUAAAAUACAAUGUUCACUAUCCAAAAAUAUUUCUCCUAACCAGAACUAUUCAAAUGACAAGUCUAAAUCAAUCUUAUUUGUUUUUUGAAUAACAGAGGAAAGAAAAUCUUAAAAUUACUUGAACCCAGAUUUAUAAAGGUUUAUAAUUUUUUGAAAACUCAAUGUUCACUAUCAAAACUCUUUCUCUUAGAUCGACCUGUUGUAAACCAACCUUUGUUGAUUUUUUUUUAUAACAGAAAGAACAAAUCCAAAAUAUUACUUGAAUCGAACAAAAAAAAAU